rnacentral:rRNA from 1 species
CCUACGGGAGGCAGCAGUGAGGAAUAUUGGUCAAUGGACGAGAGUCUGAUCCAGCCAAGUAGCGUGAAGGAUGACUGCCCUCUGGGUUGUAAACUUCUUUUAUAUGGGAGUAAAAUGUUCCACGUGUGGGAUUUUGUAUGUACCAUAUCAAUAAGGAUCGGCUAACUCCGUGCCAGCAGCCGCGGUAAUACGGAGGAUCCGAGCGCUAUCCGGAUUUAUUGGGGGUAAAGGGAGCGUAGGUGGAUUGUUAAGUCAGUUGUGAAGGUUUGCGGCUCAACCGUAAAAUUGCAGUUGAAACUGGCAGGCUUGAGUACAGGAGAGGUGGGCGGAAUUCGUGGUGUAGCGGUGAAAUGCUUAGAUAUUACGAAGAACUCCGAUUGCGAAGGCAGCUCACUGGACUGCAACUGACACUGAGGCUCGAAAGUGUGGGUAUCAAACAGGAUUAGAUACCCCAGUAGUC